GACGAACGCUGGCGGCGCGCCUAACACAUGCAAGUCGAACGGAGUCAAGAGGAGCUUGCUUUUCUUGACUUAGUGGCGAACGGGUGAGUAACGCGUGAGUAACCUGCCCUGGAGUGGGGGACAACAGUUGGAAACGACUGCUAAUACCGCAUAAGCCCACGGAUCUGCAUGGAUCUGCGGGAAAAGGAUUUAUUCGCUCUAGGAUGGACUCGCGUCCAAUUAGCUAGUUGGUGAGGUAACGGCCCACCAAGGCGACGAUUGGUAGCCGGACUGAGAGGUUGACCGGCCACAUUGGGAGUGAGACACGGCCCAGACUCCUACGGGAGGCAGCAGGUGGGGAUAUUGCACAAUGGGGGAAACCCUGAUGCAGCGACGCCGCGUGGAGGAAGAAGGUUUUCGGAUUGUAAACUCCUGUCGUUAGGGACGAUAAUGACGGUACCUAACAAGAAAGCACCGGCUAACUACGUG
rnacentral:rRNA from 1 species